rnacentral:rRNA from 1 species
UACGAAGGGGGCUAGCGUUGUUCGGAAUCACUGGGCGUAAAGCGCACGUAGGCGGAUGUGUCAGUCAGGGGUGAAAUCCCGGGGCUCAACCUCGGAACUGCCUUUGAUACAGCACGUCUCGAGUCCGGAAGAGGUGGGUGGAAUUCCUAGUGUAGAGGUGAAAUUCGUAGAUAUUAGGAAGAACACCGGUGGCGAAGGCGGCAUCCUGGACCAUGACUGACGCUGAGGAGCGAAAGCCAGGGGAGCAAACGGG